GACCAGCAGUAAGUUACUGUAAAACCUACAGUGUAAUUCAGUAUUUUUCAGACUUGUUUCUUGGGUCCGCCCACAAUUCGUCCAACCGAGCUUCAUUUCACCUGGCCGACCCUGCUAAAUCCAUCCUACUGCAUCGUGUGUUUUUGAUAACAAGUUGCUGGUGACAAAGUCACAAUAAAACGUUGGAUGAUCAGCAUGGAAGGUGAUGUCAUCUGCAAAGGCGUCCAACCUAGCUUAAUCUCAGGGCUUGCUGCCCUUCUUGCCACCUACUAUGUGUUCAACUUGGAAUACCAAGAGGAAGGUCCUCGGACAUUGGAAUUUGUUCAAAGGGACCGAAGCACCAGUUUGACUCUAGGAUACAGAGAAGGUAGGUAAUGUGCAGGUAAAGAUAUGUUGACUGGGUCAAAGAAGGAAGCACCUGUUUGACCCCAGGAUGCAGAAAAAGUAGGUAAUUUGCAGGUAAAGAUAUGUUGACUGGAUGAUGGCAGGAAGCACCAGCUUGACCCGAGAAUGCAGAGCAAGUAGGUAAUGUGCGGGUGAAGAUAUGUUGAAUGGGUAAAGGCAGGAAGCACCAGUGUGACCCCACCAUGCAGGGAAGGUAGGUAAUGUGCGGGUGAAGGUAUGUUGAAUGGGUGAAAGAAGGAAGCGCAGGUGUGGUCGAGGCCAUGCAGACAAGGUAGGUAUGUGCAGGUGAAGAUAUGUUGUAUGGUGAAAGAAAGAUGCACCAGUGUGACCCAAGGAUGCAGGGAAGGUAGGUAAUGUGCAGGUAAAGAUAUGUUGAAUGGGUGAAGGCAGGAAACACCAGCUAGACGCCAGGAUACAGAGAAGGUAGGUAAUGUGCAGGUAAAGAUAUGUUGAAUGAGUAAAGGCAGGAAACACCAGCUUGACUCCAGGAUACAGAGAAGGUAGGUAAUGUGCAGGUAACGAUAUGUUGAAUGGGUAAAGGUAGAA